rnacentral:tRNA from 1 species
GCCAGAGUGGUGAAACGGCAGACACAGGGGACUUAAAAUCCCUUGCCCGGUUUCGGGCGUACGGGUUCGAGUCCCGUCUCUGGCA